rnacentral:rRNA from 1 species
UACAGAGGUGGCAAGCGUUGUUCGGAAUUACUGGGCGUAGAGGGCGCGUAGGCGGCCUUCUAAGUCAGACGUGAAAUCCCCCGGCUUAACCUGGGAACUGCGUCUGAUACUGGGAGGCUUGAGUAUGGGAGAGGGAUGUAGAAUUCCAGGUGUAGCGGUGAAAUGCGUAGAUAUCUGGAGGAAUACCGGUGGCGAAGGCGGCAUCCUGGACCGACAUUGACGCUGAGGAGCGAAAGCGUGGGGAGCGAACAGG